rnacentral:rRNA from 1 species
CCUACGGGAGACAGCAGUGGGGGAUAUUGGACAAUGGGGGAAACCCUGAUCCAGCGACGCCGCGUGAGUGAAGAAGUAUUUCGGUAUGUAAAGCUCUAUCAGCAGGGAAGAAAGAAAUGACGGUACCUGAGUAAGAAGCCUAGGCUAACUACGUGCCAGCAGCCGCGGUAAUACGUAGGGGGCAAGCGUUAUCCGGAAUUACUGGGUGUAAAGGGAGCGUAGACGGGAAUGCAAGUCUGGUGUGAAAGGCGGGGGCUCAACCGCCGGACUGCUCUGGAAACUGUGUAACUGGAGUGCAGGAGAGGCAGGCGGAAUUCCUAGUGUAGCGGUGAAAUGCGUAGAUAUUAGGAGGAACACCAGUGGCGAAGGCGGCCUGCUGGACUGUAACUGACGUUGAGGCUCGAAAGCGUGGGGAGCAAACAGGAUUAGAUACCCUUGUAGUC